UAUGUUUGUUAGUGGUACGAGAAUCAAACUUUUCUUAUCUCUUACUUAUGUUGCAAUUAUAAAAUAAUCCAUAUGCAGUUCUGCUUCUAUGAUAAAAUUAAUACACAGUUCUGUUUCUUGUUCUUGAAUUACUUAUUUGCUUUUGUUUUGGUUUGUGGUUUCCUGUCACUUAUCUGAAACUCUGAUUUCAUUAGGCACUUGAAAAUGAUUGGUCGUGUUGAUAGCAAAUACAAUCAAAGACUGUCCCCACCAAGAAACUGACUGCCUUGUUCGCUUUCUUUUAUUUUUUUUCUUGUUCAAAACACAUUCGUUUCUUCUUCUUCUUCUCUCGUUUUAAAAUUGAAAUUAAUAUAUGGUCCAAAAGCUACACACUUUUAUGAAAGUAUCAAAGGGAAAGUGAAUGAUGCAUAUAUAUAGUGUCUGUGUUGGGUC